CCUGGUGGCUCAGAUGGUAAAGCAUCUGCCUGCAAUGCGGGAGACCCAGGUUCGAUUCCUGGGUCAGGA
rfam:Ovis aries breed Texel chromosome 14, whole genome shotgun sequence.